rnacentral:rRNA from 1 species
AUUGAACGCUGGCGGCAUGCUUUACACAUGCAAGUCGAACGGUAACAGGCCGCAAGGUGCUGACGAGUGGCGAACGGGUGAGUAAUGCACCGGAACGUGCCCAGUCGUGGGGGAUAACGCAGCGAAAGCUGCGCUAAUACCGCAUACGAUCUAUGGAUGAAAGCGGGGGACCGUAAGGCCUCGCGCGAUCGGAGCGGCCGAUGUCAGAUUAGGUAGUUGGUGGGGUAAAGGCUCACCAAGCCAACGAUCUGUAGCUGGUCUGAGAGGACGACCAGCCACACUGGGACUGAGACACGGCCCAGACUCCUACGGGAGGCAGCAGUGGGGAAUUUUGGACAAUGGGCGCAAGCCUGAUUCAGCAAUGCCGCGUGCAGGAAGAAGGCCUUCGGGUUGUAAACUGCUUUUGUACGGAACGAAAAGGCUCUGGAUAAUACCUGGGGCUCAUGACGGUACCGUAAGAAUAAGCACCGGCUAACUACGUGCCAGCAGCCGCAGUAAGAC